UGUCUCUCUCGCUAAAACCCUACACCACCACCGCACCGGACGACGGGUCCGUCGAGCUUCCACCGUUCGAUUCCAAUUUCGCAAACGCUGAUGUCCCUUCAACUCUCCAAAUUUCCACUGGUGUCCUCUACACAGGUGCCAUCGCCGUCUUCCUCUCGUUCUCUCCGUCGCCGAGCAAGGUGAGCCAAACAACUGGUAUGCCAAAUAUUAACUUUUAAUAGGUAUAAUCAAGUAAUUGAACAGUAUUAAUUACUGAAUUGGGUUUUGGUGGGAUUAGAAAUUGAGGUCUACUGGGGCCAAGAAAUCUUUAAAGGAAGAGGCAAUGGAGAGUUUGAAAGCAAUGAAACCAACCUUAGUGGAUACUGCUAAGUCACCUCCAUCCAGGGACGUCCAGUAAUUUUUCCGGCUAUGGCGGAUUUUAACUAAUUUUUUUGUUAAAAUUAAAUAAAGAAAACUUGAAUAUUGGUUAAUAAUUACAAAUUGCAAUAAAUAUUCAUAAUCUAAACUAAAAAAAAUUCAAAUAAAAAAUAUUUAGAUACAAUUUAGUUGUCAUAGUUCAAUUUGAAUUCAAAUUAUUCCCCAAAUGCUUAAAAUCUCAAACCAAAUUUGCUUUCUAUAUUUAAACAAACUCAUGAAUUAAUUUAGAAUAUGAAUGUGUUUGUCUAUUUAGAAUAUGAAUGAUUUUUUUUCCCCUCCAAGUUUAACUCUUAUAUUAAUCUGCCCCCUUAAAUUUAUUCACUUACAUAUUUUUGCUCCUAUACUUCUAAAAAAGAAUCUAGUGCCCUUUAACAAAUCAGCCCCUGCCUCCAUCGGCUGUUCCAGCAUUGUUGGGAGGGGUAUCAACUGGUGUUAUUACGCUUAUUCUUAACAAGUUUACCACAACUAUAAAGGCCUCUGUAAAUUGCCAUACUCUUUCAGAUAAUUUCUAUGUUUGUUUCUCUAUUGCAUUUUUUUCGUGUUUGAGGAAACUUGCUUAUUUAGUACAUUAUUAUGCUCAAUGUGCGGAUUAGAAGUAUAAAAUUAUAAUCUGAUAAAAUUCAGAUGAAUGUGCGGAUUUGAAGUGUAAAAUUAUAAUCAGAUAAAAUUCAGAUGAGACAAUAUAAGAUAUGGGAAAUACUACUUAUUCACUGAUUGCAUGACUUUGAAAUAACUUCCUAAUAAUGCACCAAGUAUAAUAUCCAAUCAAGUCUCUUAAGAUUCAGUAAUAGAAAGAAGUUGUUGUUGUUAUUAUUUUGGGGUUGGGGUGGGGGUGGGGGGUCAUCAGGUGUUCAGAAUUUUCUAGAUUUUGACCCUCCCUUUGGUUAAUAGCAUCCAUUGGCUGGAUCAAUAACAUAAAUGACUAUAAAGUUGAAUUCUUUCAUUGAGUAACAGUAGAACCAACAUGCCAAAUUUGGUUGUGCCUCGAAACACAUCAUUCUGAUAUUUGAUUUUGAUUGCCAAGUAUCAUUUAUCACUGUUGGUAAUAUUCCCCUGGCUAAUAUCGUAUUUUUAAAUUCACUAACGUUAACAUCUUAUCAGUUAAUCUUGGAGUGAGGAGGCAGGACAUUCUUUCUUCUUCUUUUUGGCCCUAAGUAUGCGAAUUAGAACCAGUGACCUCGAGGUUAUUCUCAAUGCUUCUAUCAUUCCUCCCACCCCAAGAGGUUUAUGUUUGGGCAGGAAUUCAAUCAGUAUAUAUGUUAGUUGUAGUGGCUCUAUGGCCACAUGGUAAAACACCCGUCCUACCUAUUUGGCAAUAUGGUCAACCCGUAAAUCAUCAUUAGCCUUAUUAUGGCACUUACGAUGAAGUCCCUUCUUGUGAGAGUUUCAUUUUUGUUUGUAAGAUAUUUUAAAACUUUACAUCUUUUGUAGGAAUUGGAAUAAUCAUUUAACAGGAAGUGUUGUAAUAUAUGUUAAGGGAGCUGAUAUUUCCACGGGGUAUGAGUUAUGACCCACCUAUAACCAAACCAAACAUGUUGUAGUACAUUAAUCAGGAUAGAGAUUUUCUAUUCCAAAUUUGUCCCUUCUAUCUUUAUCUGUCCUCAUCUACGAUCGUCUCUCUCUACUUUAUCUUCACAAGAAAUAAGAAUCAAAUUAUACAACACAGUACUAGAAAUCAAGUGUAUAUAUUCAUCUGGGAAUUAAGCUUACACAGAGACAUAAGAAAGAAAAUUUAUUAAAAGCGUCUUAAAAUUUCUUUUAAUAGAGACCAUCAAAAAAAGGCAAUUAGAAAGUUGUCAUCGUAAUUUUUCGUCCGGCCGUUGAACCUCUACCAAUGCCGACUCCCCGAUACUACUCACAAAAACUCAACCAAAAGUCUCAUCUCAAAUCACAUAAGACGAUAUCUUAAUCAAAGCUUCCACAUCUCAAAUCACACACAAGACCCAUUGAAGUUUUUCUUACAAAAUUCAUCAUAUAUAGUUUCUAAAAUUGAUCUUUUUUGAAAGAGAUGAGGAAAUACCUUUGAAUGGAAAAAUGCCUCUUUUGAUGAGUUCCGGGUACUGAAAAUACCCCAUGAAACCACGUGCAGAUGCGGUUCAAAACUGCACAAGCAGAAUCCCAAAUUCAUCUGCUAUUAUGCUUGUAAUCGGCGGAAUCUCAGCCGUUGACUUUAGCUUAAUUAAUAGAUCUUGAAACGGAGCCAAACAAUUCUUUAAAACAGAUUCAAACACGGCUACAGGGAAAUGAGAUUUAGUAGGCUCGAUCCGCCGCAAUCCCUCCGGUAUGGUCUCGAACCGGAAAUCGGCAAAACCCGCAACCCAUUUGGGUCCUUUGGACCGGACUAAGCUCCUCUGGUUGUGUUCAGAAUUGAUGAAGUUGAUGUGAAAUCCUUUGGAGUGAAGAAGCUUGGCUAGUUGCAUCAUGGGGAUUAUAUGGCCUUGUGCUGAAAUGGAACGUAUACUAGAUUGGGAUAUAUACACUUGAUUUCUAAUACAGUGUUGUAUAAUUUGGUUCUUAUUUCUUGUGAAGAUAAUGGAGAGAUACGAUCGUAGAUGAGGACAGAUAAAGAUAGAAGAAGGGGUAAAUUUGGAAUUGAAAUUUUCUAUCCUGGUUAAUUUGGUUAAAGGUGGGUCAUACCCUGCGGAAACAUCAAAAUACCCUGCGGAAAUAUCAUUUCCCCAUGUUAAUUAUUAUAAGAUAUCAUGAAUCAAAAUCUAGUGCGCAAUUUUACUGGAUAAACUGGUACUAGGUUCUUCCAGUUACAGCAACUGCAUAAAUUGUUCUAUAUUGCUACAAGUGAAGGAAAAUAAUGUGUAGCUCAUAACUAACAUUAUGUUCUCAUUUUAUACUACAUUCAACUUGGAUACUGUUAGUUUUUUUUCUUUUCAUCUUUUCAGUUUGUGGUAUCAUUGAUCAUUUAUUGUUACUAAAAAAAGGUUCAAUUAAGCUUUUAGAAGCCUAAAAGUUUUUCAUCAAAGAUGCUUUAUUUCAUUCAAAUUACUUGGUCUUAAAGGUGAAUUUUCACCUUAAUAAACUGGAGAUAAGAAAAGAACUUCACAAGUUAGUGAUAAACAAGAAACUAGUAUAUGAUAUCAACACUGAUUCCCUCUCUUUUUAAUUUUAUUUAUAUUUAAUGGAAAGAAGUCUUCUUGCUUAUGUGGGAAAUGUUGCUGUGCUUUUCUUGCUGUUUUCAUCAGUUAAUAGCCCAAUAGUAAAACUGUUCUUCGUAUUUGGCACAAUAACUAUAAGGUUGUGAUUUCAGCAUCUAUUUUUUAGCAUUCUUUGCUUUGAACUUGGAUUAAUGAUUCAACCUUUACUGUCUGCAGGACUAUUAUAAAUGGGUUUUGAUAUCUUGCUACUUUCGUUUUUGGCAUCAACUCUUUAGGUUUGGUCCUUUACUCAGGCCACCCGGGCAUCAACUUUUUUUUAUGGGAGAUUCUACUGAUGAAAAAACUGAUAAAAAGAUAAGAUGAGGCAAGUUCGCCAAAUUUGACAGCAAGUGGUAGCUCUGAAAAGAACAGCAGAAGCAGGGAUCAAAAUUCAGACAGUAUGCUAUUGUGGAUGAGUAAAAUUCAAAAGGAAAGAACAGGUUUUGAGGGCUCCUUACCAAACUGUAGUUGCAUCUUUCUAAUCAAUCUAUAUUAUGCAAUUUUAUACUAAUGGUUUUUAUGACAUUUAUUCAGCCUUAUUAGGUUCUUUUAUUGGUCAAUAACUUUUACAAGCAUCCUACCUUUCCUCUCCUUGGUCUAGUUUCUCUUUUAUCAACUUAGUUUUUAUAAUAUACAUAAUCCAUAAGUAACUAGAGCUGGUCAUUAAAGUCAAUAUUUGCAAAUAUUGACUUCUAAAAGGUUGUAGGUUGUGAAUUAAGCGGAAACUGUCUGUUUAUACUCUCAUGGUAGAAGGCUAUUUCUCUGAGCUUCUACUUCAAUUUACAUUUGAUCUUUCGUGGUUCCCAAAAGCCUUGGUGACAGCGGCUAAUUCUUCACCAAUCUUGUGGAAAUGGAGAUGCCUCAACUGUGGUUGAAAUUGAUACGGUGGAGUUGAAUUGUUGUCUAGAUUAUACAAAACUGCUACCAUAAUGACUGAGGAAGCGAACAUUGGGAUUGGUCCGAAAAUCCAGAGUAUCAAAGUGGUGGCAAAGUAAAGCGCACGCAUGCCAAUUGCCCAGAAUUACUUCCUCUUAUAACUGGCUUCUUUACAUAGCUUACAGGAAUUUCACUGUCUGGCAUGCUAAUGAGAAAAGCGGCAAGGGCAUAGUUCCUUAUCGUUUGUAUGAAAGAAGCAAAAGCAAUUAGGAAGCAUGAUAGGAGAGCAAUGUACUUGAUGGAAGUGGCUGUUGGCCUGGUAUCUCCGUAGACAACACUGCUUGAAAGAAUGUAUUUUUCGGAAGGGCUCCCAAUCCAUGCUCCAAUCAAAGAGCUCAGAACAAGAGAAACUGAAGAUAGGGAUGUUGCUGCAGUUAUGCUGCUAUUAAUUACUGCUAUGCUUGUCCCUUUGUCCUUACGUUCGAGCUUGGGAUUUAACCCAUAGACAGGUUUAAUAAGAUUAAGCUAGAUUCAUGUAGAAUAUACUUCAUCUCUUGUUGAGAAGGAAGAAAUUUUAUAGUUUCUAACCUGCAUAGUUUUCUCAACCCAGGCGUUCUUGUAGUGAUCUUCACAGCCCAUCACUGUGGUUUGAGGAAAUUUUAGGUAUUUGUAGAGAAGAAAGAGAUGAUAGCUGAACAUGAUCAACAACCCGAUUGGUACCAAGAUUAGAUCCAAGUACUCUUCCUUCCAUUUCCAACUCAUGUUCCUCUCUGUUUGAGAGAUUCUGUGUGUGAGAGAGGGAGUUUAGACGAGGAGGAUGGGUUUUAGCUUUUGAUUAUGUUUUUUAGUAGUGGAUUUGGUAAAAUUAAAGGAUGUUUGUCAAUUUGUUUGUUUGAAUAUGGAUUUUGGUUGUGCGUGAUGCACCUAACGCAACUAUAAAAGAAAUGACAAUUUGCUAGUAAUACUUGUCAUUACGACUUCCUAUACUUCAGCCUACUAUUUAUUAUACACGUAAUUUCUAC
rnacentral:lncRNA from 1 species